CCCUUAGAUGUUCGGGGCCGCACGCGCGCUACACUGAUGGGGACAGCGUGUUUGCCAUUCCUGGUCCGGCAGGAUUGGGCAAUCCGUUGAACCCCCGUCGUGAUUGGGAUCGGAGCUUGUAACUAUUCUCCGUAAACGAGGAAUUCCCAGUAAGCGCAAGUCAUCAGCUUGCGUUGAUUACGUCCCUGCCCUUUGUACACACCGCCCGUCGCUCCUACCGAUUGAGUGGUCCGGUGAGGCUUUGGGAUCUAAGCGAAAAGAGCGUUUCGCUCCUUUUGCUGGGAGAACUCAGUCGAACCUUAUCAUUUAGAGGAAGGAGAAGUCGUAACA
rnacentral:rRNA from 1 species